rnacentral:rRNA from 1 species
GCAAAAUGCGAUACUUGGUGUGAAUUGCAGAAUCCCGUGAACCAUCGAGUUUUUGAACGCAAGUUGCGCCCGAAGCCACUCGGCCGAGGGCACGUCUGCCUGGGCGUCACGC